rnacentral:rRNA from 1 species
GAACUGAAGAGUUUGAUCCUGGCUCAGAUUGAACGCUGGCGGCAUGCCUUACACAUGCAAGUCGAACGGCAGCACGGGUGCUUGCACCUGGUGGCGAGUGGCGAACGGGUGAGUAAUACAUCGGAACAUGUCCUGUAGUGGGGGAUAGCCCGGCGAAAGCCGGAUUAAUACCGCAUACGAUCCAUGGAUGAAAGCGGGGGACCUUCGGGCCUCGCGCUAUAGGGUUGGCCGAUGGCUGAUUAGCUAGUUGGUGGGGUAAAGGCCCACCAAGGCGACGAUCAGUAGCUGGUCUGAGAGGACGACCAGCCACAC